UUGAAAUUACUCUUUUUUUUGUUUAAUUUUAUUUUACGACAUUUUGGAAUCUGUUUUAAAAACAUGAAAUGAGUACUUUUUUCCCCUUUGUUUCGAUAUUUUUCCGAUAGCCAUGUAGCCAUUGGUGAAAUCCCAAAGGAUUUCUACGUAUCUGACUAUCUAUACAUGUAUAAGGAUGCGUUUGGGAUUGAUGUUAGGCAACUGUACCUUUUAAGCUACAGUACUAAAGUGUUUGGUAAACACUAUCUGCUGUAUCUUGGAAGCUAUGUUAAUAUGAUUUUUCACUUG
rnacentral:lncRNA from 1 species